rnacentral:lncRNA from 1 species
GGGAAGGCAAACACAUACAACACACACAAGAGAAAGGGUAAGCUAGGUUUUUUAAAAACAUGUAAGUCAUCAUACAACAGCUGAAAAUAGAAAGGCAUGUGCAUACAAGUGAUUAAAAAAAAUUAUCCUAUCAUGUUAUGACUCACUAGACUUGUCUUCAACCACACAUAGCAUGCAAAGAACCAUAAUACAACAUAAACUGAGACCGAAUACAUUAUUCUGUUACCAAUGAUCGACCACGUGAUUUGACCAUCCGGACUAGUAUGAAAUGUCGAGUUCCAGGGGUUUGUGCACUUGUUGUGGCCCUACUGCUUUGCAAAGCCAUUGCCGAGGGGUUUCACCCGACCACACACAAGUGUAAGCCCUUUACCGAAUAAUAGGCAUCCACGUAGCACCUACUACUAGGACCUCCUGCUAUUUUCACCACAUGACUCAUCACUCCCUGAUUGAGCAUGGGUGGUCAUUAGAAUGUCAAGAUAAACCCCAUCCUGAACUCCGGCCAUUCAUACGGUCAAUCACAACAACUACAGGGCAC